rnacentral:rRNA from 1 species
GACGAACGCUGGCGGCGUGCCUAAUACAUGCAAGUCGAGCGAAUUUACGAGAGCUUGCUCUCGUAAAUUAGCGGCGGACGGGUGAGUAACACGUGGGCAACCUGCCUAUAAGACUGGGGUAACUUCAGGAAACCGGAGCUAAUACCGGAUAAUUCACAUCUACUCAUGUAGAUGUGCUGAGAGACGGUUUCGGCUGUCACUUAUAGAUGGGCCCGCGGCGCAUUAGCUAGUUGGUGAGGUAACGGCUCACCAAGGCCACGAUGCGUAGCCGACCUGAGAGGGUGAUCGGCCACACUGGGACUGAGACACGGCCCAGACUCCUACGGGAGGCAGCAGUAGGGAAUCUUCCGCAAUGGACGAAAGUCUGACGGAGCAACGCCGCGUGAGUGAUGAAGGUUUUCGGAUCGUAAAACUCUGUAGUUAGGGAAGAACAAGUACCAGAGUAACUGCUGGUACCUUGACGGUACCUAACCAGAAAGCCACGGCUAACUACGUGCCAGCCGCCGCAGUAA